AAAGAAUCAAAAAGAGGGCCAGCAAAGCUUUGUACAUCCCUGGAUGAAAUGUAGAAUUGUAGAUACAGCAACUAAAAAAGAGGAGGCUUCCAGGCCACCAUAACACCACUCCUAGUGCAGAGGAGGUAAGCCUUGCGGCAGUACCCCUACACCAUUCAAAAUGAGAAGACACUUAAACAAGUCUCAAAACCAG
rnacentral:lncRNA from 1 species